AGGGAAUCUUCCACAAUGGACGAAAGUCUGAUGGAGCAACGCCGCGUGAGCGAUGAAGGCCUUCGGGUCGUAAAGCUCUGUUGUUAGGGAAGAACAAGUACCGGAGUAACUGCCGGUACCUUGACGGUACCUAACCAGAAAGCCACGGCUAACUACGUGCCAGCAGCCGCGGUAAUACGUAGGUGGCAAGCGUUGUCCGGAAUUAUUGGGCGUAAAGCGCGCGCAGGCGGUCCUUUAAGUCUGAUGUGAAAGCCCACGGCUCAACCGUGGAGGGUCAUUGGAAACUGGGGGACUUGAGUGCAGAAGAGGAAAGCGGAAUUCCACGUGUAGCGGUGAAAUGCGUAGAGAUGUGGAGGAACACCAGUGGCGAAGGCGGCUUUCUGGUCUGUAACUGACGCUGAGGCGCGAAAGCGUGGGGAGCAAAC
rnacentral:rRNA from 1 species